CUAUUCUUACCAUUGCUGUUAAUUUAUCUUCUAAUUUUAAUUCUUCUUUUUCUAACAUUAGAUAUAAAUGUUCACCUAUUUUCUUAUAUCUUCUUCCUAGAUUAGAAAAUACUAUUUUUAUUUUUGAUCCUUCGUAGUUUUCAUAUAUUUUUUCAUCUAUUAUAAAUUCUUCUUUGUUCAUUUUAUUGUGAAUAGUUCAUGUUGAUAUAUAUAUUCUAAACUAUCUAUUUGUGAUUCUAAUUUUGAUAUUUCAUCUUUUUGUGUAUCUAUUGAGUUUUCAUUAACUCCGGUAAAUAUAUUAUAAUGUAGUCUUUUUAUUCUUAUUUUUAAUUCUUUACGUUUUUCAGAAAUAAUUUAUUUUAAUUCUUUGUAUUGUUGUACUUUAUUCAUUUUAAAUUAUAUUUAUAAUAUCUUGGCGGAUAUCUAAAUCUAAUUUUAUCAUAAUUAGGUGAUAUGUGUUUCAUUCUUCUAGAUUUUAAAUGGAUUAUUAAUUUUGAUUCAAUACUAGAUAUUAAUGUAAUUAAGUAGGCUAAUCUUUGUGGG
rnacentral:lncRNA from 1 species